UGUGUUUCUUGUAAAACAAUC
ensembl:piRNA 21ur-2093 ncRNA